UACCUUCCCACGGAAAUUCUCCCACACGCGGCCGUCUCCCAUAAACUGCCCCUCAACUCCCGCCCGCCGCGCCGCCCCCAAUCGAUUUCAAAUCGCAGGCGCCGGGUCGGCGUGAAUCCGCGGCGGCGAUGGAGGUGGGCGACGUGCACAAGGUGUGGGAGAUCCGCGCCCUCAAGCGAAAGCCCGACGAGCCCUCCGCCCGCGCGCUACUCGACCGCAUCGCCAAGCAGGUCCAGCCCAUCAUGCGCCGCCGCAAGUGGCGCGUCAAGGUCCUCUCCGAGUUCUCGCCGAAGAACCCUAGUUUGCUGGGACUCAACGUCAACAGGGGCGCCGAGGUGAAGCUGCGGCUGCGGCCCGACGGUCGGGACAACGAAUUCAUGCCCUACGAGGAGGUGCUCGACACCAUGCUCCACGAGCUCGCCCACAAUGCGCGCGGUCCCCACGACGCCCAGUUUUACAAGCUCUGGGACGAACUCCGCAAGGAGUGUGAAGAACUUAUUUCAAAGGGUAUCACUGGACCAGGACAAGGGUUUGAUGGUACAGGCAGGAGAUUAGGUGGAUUUUCAGUACAUCCACCACCACCAUCUCUCCGGCAAGCUGCAUUAAGUGCUGCACAGAAACGGGCAAGGAAUGGAGCUUUAUUGCCAUCUGGCCCAAGAAAGCUGGGUGGAAAUAGUGAUAUUAUGAGCGCGCUGAGUCCAGUACAAGCUGCUGCAAUGGCUGCUGAAAGGAGAAUGCAAGAUGACCUGUGGUGUGGAUCACAUAACCAAUCUGGUAUUGAUGAUUCAGAAGAUGUUAUUAUUCUUGAGAAACCACCUAACUUCACAGCAAGGGAUAGAAAACGCACAAAAGCUGGAAAAAACACAAAGGCUGUGUUUUCGAGUGGUUCUGCAGAGUCCAGCACUUCAUCUCGAUCUCAAGUAACAGCACCAGAGGAUUCCUCUUCUUGUAGGACAACUGACGCGGGCAUCAGUUCUUUGUGGGGGUGUAGUGCUUGCACUCUUCUAAAUCAGCCUCUGGCACCAAUAUGUGAAGUUUGUGGAACAGCGAAACCGAAAAUUGCAAAAGCCAAGUACACAACUUGGUCCUGUAAAUUCUGUACUCUAGAGAACAGCGCCGAGCUUGAGAAAUGUUCGGCAUGCACUCAAUGGAGAUACUCAUAUGGACCACCUGGGGCCACAUAUGGUUCAAGCUAUGAUUGACAUUCAUUGAAAGCUACAAUAAUACGCAUGGCAGGUGUAUGCAAAGCUGUAGGAGAAAUCUACUACCGCAAACAGUUUCAGCUAUUGAUCAUCUUCUGCAUUCAUCUUAGCGUGGAUCACACUUUUGGUCAGGCACCUGCUGCAUUGUCUAUAAAUUGUCUUAUUAGCAGCUGUUGCUUCUGUUACCACUGCAUGCCAAGUCUUUCCAUCAAGCGUUAGCUUGCUAUCCAUCCGUGUAUACAAGGCCUAUUAGUACAUGAUUAAUAGGAUUUGUAAACCUGGAUGGAGGGACUAUCCAAGUAGCCUUACUACAGUAUAGAGUAUUCUGGUAGCGGAUCAACCCAAUUCUUGUUUGGGAGCAUUGAAAUCAUGGGGAGCUGGUUAGUUUGUCACGCCAUAUGUUUCUGUUAUCUUGCACUCCCCUAACUUGCUUUUGUGCAAGGAUGCCGCUAUAUAUCUUUGGAGCAAUUUUGUUUCCACGCACAUAGUCAAUGCAAUCUUUGCGUUCAUGAAAUCUAA